rnacentral:rRNA from 1 species
CACCGCGGUUAGACGAGAGGCCCUAGUUGAUAGUACAACGGCGUAAAGGGUGGUUAAGGAUAAAUAAAAAUUAAAGCCAAAUGACCCCUUGGCCGUCAUACGCUUCUAGGUGUCCGAAGCCCUAACACGAAAGUAGCUUUAAACAAGUCAACCUGACCCCACGAAAGCUGAGAAA